rnacentral:rRNA from 1 species
UACGUAGGGGGCAAGCGUUAUCCGGAUUUACUGGGUGUAAAGGGAGCGUAGGCGGCGAUGCAAGUCUGAAGUGAAAGGCGGGGGCCCAACCCCCGGACUGCUUUGGAAACUGUAUGGCUGGAGUGCAGGAGAGGUAAGUGGAAUUCCUAGUGUAGCGGUGAAAUGCGUAGAUAUUAGGAGGAACACCAGUGGCGAAGGCGGCUUACUGGACUGUAACUGACGUUGAGGCUCGAAAGCGUGGGGAGCAAACAGG